AACGAACGCUGGCGGCAUGCCUAACACAUGCAAGUCGAACGAGAUCUUCGGGUCUAGUGGCGCACGGGUGCGUAACGCGUGGGAAUCUGCCCUUUGGUUCGGAAUAACGGUUGGAAACGACUGCUAAUACCGGAUGAUGACGAAAGUCCAAAGAUUUAUCGCCAGAGGAUGAGCCCGCGUAGGAUUAGCUAGUUGGUGUGGUAAAGGCGCACCAAGGCGACGAUCCUUAGCUGGUCUGAGAGGAUGAUCAGCCACACUGGGACUGAGACACGGCCCAGACUCCUACGAGAGGCAGCAGUGGGGAAUAUUGGACAAUGGGCGAAAGCCUGAUCCAGCAAUGCCGCGUGAGUGAUGAAGGCCUUAGGGUUGUAAAGCUCUUUUACCCGGGAUGAUAAUGACAGUACCGGGAGAAUAAGCUCCGGCUAACUCCGUGCCAGCAGCCGCCGUAA
rnacentral:rRNA from 1 species